CCUUUAUCAGGAAUUGAAGGUGAAAUGAAAUACUGUACUGCAGAAGGAGGCAAGUAGAUGCUCAGUCCCAUCUCUAUGUGAUGCUGGGAGCUCUUGAGUGCAUCUUUUCAGCAAUUACUUGGACUAAAAGCUCUCUACAGAGAAAGAGAUUGGUUCCCCACUUUCCUGUGUGUUGUCUGUUACACAACCUAUUCCAGAAGUGCUUGCAGACCACUUGAAUUUGACCAGCAUUUAGAAUUCUGUUACACUUCUGCCAUAAGGAGUUUGAAUUCUGCUACUCUCACCCGAAGUUCAUCUUUAUUCCCUUUCGUCUUCUCCUACAGUCUGCAGAACUGAUGGAUGCCUUCUGAUGGUCUUCCCUGCCUUUCUCUGAGUGAUUGGGAGAUGGAAAGCUUUCUGCUGCACAACAGGCAUAUCACUAAAGCCACUGUUUUGUUAGCUUCUGCUGUGUCACUAGGAAGUGAUCCUGCAAACAUGUGAAGUGUGCCUCUUCCCUUUCCAACAUCUUUUGAUUCUCAUAGACACGCUGAAUGAUAGGAGUGAGUUAUGAAAGCUUACAGCUCACUCACUGCUCUGUGCUGCUGGGGGGGGGGGGGGG
ensembl:lncRNA